rnacentral:rRNA from 1 species
AUUGAACGCUGGCGGGAUGCUUUACACAUGCAAGUCGAACGAGUGGCGGACGGGUGAGUAAUAUAUCGGAACGUGCCCAGUAGCGGGGGAUAACUACUCGAAAGAGUGGCUAAUACCGCACACAAUUGGCGCGGUCGGUAUGGGAUUUGCUAGUUGGUGGGGUAAAGGCUCACCAAGGCAACGAUCCGUACCGGGUUUGAGAGGACGACCAGCCACACUGGUACUGAGACACGGCCCAGACUCCUACGGGAGGCAGCAGUGGGGAAUUUUGGACAAUGGGGGAAACCCUGAUCCAGCCAUCCCGCGUGUGUGAGAAGGCCUUCGGGUUGUAAAGUACUUUUAGUUGAGAAGCGGUAUCUGCAGAAUAAGCACCGGCUAACUACGUGCCAGCAGCCGCGGUAAUAC